UCGCCUGUUUAUCAAAAACAUGUCCUUUUGGGAUUUAUUUAAGGUUAGGCCUGCUCAAUGAUUAUUAUUUAAUAGCCGCAGUAUAUUAACUGUGCUAAGGUAGCAUAAUCAAUUGUCUUUUAAUUGAGGGCUAGAAUGAAUGGUUUAACGAGGUAAUAACUUUCUUUAAAUUAAUUUAUUUAAUUUAAUUUUUAGGUUAAAAAGCUUAAAUUUUAUUAAGGGACGAGAAGACCCUAUAGAUUUUAAUUAUUUAUUUAGUUUAAUUUAUUUAGUUUAUUAAAGGUUGAAUUAAAUGAAUUAUUUUGUUGGGGCGAUUUAGAAAUUUAAUGAACUUUUUAUUGUUUUAUUCAUUUAUUUAUGUUUGUUUUGAUCCUUUAUUAUGGAUUAUAAGAUUAAAUUACCUUAGGGAUAACAGCGUUAUUUCUCCGGAGAGUUCUUAUUGAUGGAUGAAGUUUGCGACCUCGAUGUUGGAUUAAAAUUAAUAAUGGGUGUAGUAGCUCUAGGAAUUAGGUCUGUUCGACCUUUGAAUUUUUACAUGAUCUGAGUUC
rnacentral:rRNA from 1 species